ACUGGGGUGGCUGAGGUGGUUAAAGGCGCCGGGCUUAAGAUCCGGUCACUAUGUGUUCGAGGGUUCAAAUCCCUCCCCCAGUACCA
rnacentral:tRNA from 3 species